GAGGGAGAAAGGGGUGUGAGGGUCCGCUUGGGUCCUGGAGGCGGUACUGUGUCGGUGUGUGGACCUUGUCUUCUCUCUCGCGCAGAGGACUCCGUGGUUUCGUCGUCCCUCUCAAUUCCUUUACGUUGUUGGUUGGGAGCGUCAUCUUGGAGAAGGGGCGCCCGCACAUCUGGGCGGAAAAGGUUAAAGGUUAGAUUGUAAGAAAAGGAAACAGAAGCCAUGUUUCGAAGACCUGUAGUGCAGGUCCUUCGUCAGUUUGUAAGACAUGAGUCUGAAAUAACUGGCAGUUUGGUUCUCGAAAGAUCUCUGAAUCGUGUGCAGUUACUUGGUCGAGUAGGUCAGGACCCUGUCAUGAGACAGGUAGAAGGAAAAAACCCAGUCACAAUAUUUUCUCUAGCAACAAAUGAGAUGUGGCGAUCAGGGGAAAACGAAACACAACAAAUGGGUGACGUCAGUCAAAAGACAACGUGGCACAGAAUUUCAGUAUUCCGACCAGGCCUGAGAGAUGUGGCAUAUCAGUAUGUGAAAAAGGGGUCUCGAAUUUAUGUGGAAGGGAAAGUAGACUAUGGUGAAUAUAUGGAUAAAAAUAAUGUGAGACGACAAGCAACAACAAUUAUAGCUGAUAACAUUAUAUUUCUGAGUGACCAGACGAAAGAGAAGGCAUAGAGCGGACGAUUCUUCUCUGGCCAUUGUUUGGUACAGUCUCGUUUCCAAAUCUUGAUAGUCUUUAUAGUUUCUGAGGACAAGAAUUAAAAUACUCUAUGUAAAAUGAGUGAUAAUAUUUUUCCUGACUGCCAUCCUCCUUCCCCUUUUUGUGUCUUGAGCCUUGCCUGCUCCUGUAUGUUAUGGUAUUCACUAGUUGUUUAUUCUUUAAGAGAUGGUUUCUAUGUGUAAGUACACAAAAUAGUGAACUGUUAGGUUCAUCCGUGUUACGGCAGAGGGAUGACUGUCCUUUCGGAAGGCCCCCCGACCCCUUGUUUGUGCACACUUGUAUUAUAGUAUUGAUUUAGCCACUCAGUGUUUAUUGAGCAUUGCUGUACGUCAUACAUUUAUCCCAUGGUUGUAAUACUGAUUUCCUUAUCUGUUUGGUUUAUAGACUAGAAGGCAAGAACUGUAUCUUCUUUACGUACCUGCGUCUUAACCAUUGCUUGGCACAGAAUAGGCAAUAAAUGUUGACACAUGAACGAUCCCAAUGGGAUGUUAAGCUUUAGCCUAAAUUGUAGGGGCUUGCUGAACAGUGGUUAAUAUCUAAUCUAAAUAGCUUCAAGAUGAACCUACAUUAUUCACAUCUUCUGUUUUUGGACAGUUUCACUAGUAACAUUUGUGAAGCAGAGUUUACUAGCAGUAAAGACCUAAAGUAUAACUAGGGAUGAAGUAGUCCAUCUCCAGGUGAUGACAUAGCCUCUGGUUUCACU